CCUUGGGGAUCGCUGGCCUUGCAAACAAUCGUUUCGCUCCCGAUCCCAGGUCGGGAGCUUCUUCCGGAGGAACAUCUUCCAUGGUCAGAGCACCUGUCAACAUCUCCAAAACACAGCAUCCCAAACUCCAAAUGUCCGACUGUCGCGCAAACACUCCCUUGAUAAAAACCUCUGGAGCAGAGUAUCCCAACGUCCCCUCAAACGAUUGCGAUUGAUGGGGAGCAUA
rnacentral:SRP_RNA from 1 species